rnacentral:rRNA from 1 species
GACGAACGCUGGCGGCGCGCCUAACACAUGCAAGUCGAACGGACGAUGAAGAGCUUGCUUUUCUGAUCGAGUGGCGAACGGGUGAGUAACGCGUGAGGAACCUGCCUCAAAGAGGGGGACAACAGUUGGAAACGACUGCUAAUACCGCGUAAGCCCACGGCUCGGCAUCGAGCAGAGGGAAAAGGAGCAAUCCGCUUUGAGAUGGCCUCGCGUCCGAUUAGCUAGUUGGUGAGGUAAUGGCCCACCAAGGCGACGAUCGGUAGCCGGACUGAGAGGUUGAACGGCCACAUUGGGACUGAGACACGGCCCAGACUCCUACGGGAGGCAGCAGUGGGGAAUAUUGCACAAUGGGGGAAACCCUGAUGCAGCGACGCCGCGUGGAGGAAGAAGGUCUUCGGAUUGUAAACUCCUGUUGUUGAGGAAGAUAAUGACGGUACUCAACAAGGAAGUGACGGCUAACUACGUGCCAGCAGCCGCGGUAAAACGUAGGUCACAAGCGUUGUCCGGAAUUACUGGGUGUAAAGGGAGCGCAGGCGGGCGAUCAAGUUGGAAGUGAAAUCCAUGGGCUCAACCCAUGAACUGCUUUCAAAACUGAUUGUCUUGAGUAGUGCAGAGGUAGGCGGAAUUCCCGGUGUAGCGGUGGAAUGCGUAGAUAUCGGGAGGAACACCAGUGGCGAAGGCGGCCUACUGGGCACCAACUGACGCUGAGGCUCGAAAGUGUGGGUAGCAAACAGGAUUAGAUACCCUGGUAGUCCACACCGUAAACGAUGAUUACUAGGUGUUGGAGGAUUGACCCCUUCAGUGCCGCAGUUAACACAAUAAGUAAUCCACCUGGGGAGUACGACCGCAAGGUUGAAACUCAAAGGAAUUGACGGGGGCCCGCACAAGCAGUGGAGUAUGUGGUUUAAUUCGACGCAACGCGAAGAACCUUACCAAGUCUUGACAUCCUGCGACGAUGCUAGAAAUAGUAUUUUCCCUCGGGACGCAGAGACAGGUGGUGCAUGGUUGUCGUCAGCUCGUGUCGUGAGAUGUUGGGUUAAGUCCCGCAACGAGCGCAACCCUUAUGGUCAGUUACUACGCAAGAGGACUCUGGCCAGACUGCCGUUGACAAAACGGAGGAAGGUGGGGAUGACGUCAAAUCAUCAUGCCCUUUAUGACUUGGGCUACACACGUACUACAAUGGCGUUAAACAAAGAGAAGCAAGACCGCGAGGUGGAGCAAAACUCAGAAACAACGUCCCAGUUCGGACUGCAGGCUGCAACUCGCCUGCACGAAGUCGGAAUUGCUAGUAAUCGCAGAUCAGCAUGCUGCGGUGAAUACGUUCCCGGGCCU